UAUCAUCCUCAAGAAGAAGCAAGCUAAAGAUCAUCAGGGUAUUGUCGGCGAAGAAGGCUCCACUAUGAUUGAAGACAGUGUAUCACCACAUAAGGCGACAAUCUUGCAACACGAAACGCAUAAGACUAGUAAAGUUAACGAGUUGUCAUUGGCUAAAUCGGCUGUAAUGCGACCAAUGGAGGGUAUGACACCGUACGGUAUGGGUCAUGUGGGUAACGCACAACAAACGAUUGUUAGCGGCAGUGCAAACAAGGCGCACGCUCCGGUUUCGGUA